ACGUAGGUGGCAAGCGUUGUUCGGAAUUAUUGGGCGUAAAGGGCGCGUAGGCGGUUUGUUAAGUCGGCUGUGAAAGCCCGGGGCUCAACUCCGGAAUUGCCUUUAAGACUGCAUCGCUAGAAUUGUGGAGAGGUGAGUGGAAUUCCGAGUGUAGAGGUGAAAUUCGUAGAUAUUCGGAAGAACACCAGUGGCGAAGGCGACUCACUGGACACAUAUUGACGCUGAGGUGCGAAAGCGUGGGGAGCAAACAGGA
rnacentral:rRNA from 1 species